rnacentral:rRNA from 1 species
AGACCGAUAGCGAACAAGUAGAGUGAUCGAAAGAUGAAAAGCACUUUGAAAAGAGAGUUAAACAGCACGUGAAAUUGUUGAAAGGGAAGCGUUGGCAACCAGACUCGCCCGGGAGGGCUCAGCCGGCACGUGUGCCGGUGCACUCCCCCCCGGGCGGGCCAGCGUCGGUUUGGGCGGUCGGUCAAAGGCCCCGGGAAUGUAGCACCCUCCGGGGUGCCUUAUAGCCCGAGGCGCCAUGCGACCUGCCCGGACCGAGGAACGCGCUUCGGCUCGGACGCUGGCGUAAUGGUUGUCAACGGCCCGUCUUGAAACACGGACCAAG